UAAGGUUCCACAGGCAGUAAGGAACCAGAAAUACUGGUUUCUACCAACUGUUGGACUCAGGACUGGUGUGAUGACUGUAAUAGCAGUCUCAAAUCCUUUCUGGAAGGAGGCAGGGUUUAUAAAUAAACAGAAAAGAAAUACAACUGACUCAAACUGAAAUUUGUGGAUCUGGUUUGACGUGGCAGAUGUGUUUAAUAGAGCUUAAGAGAGAGAGAGCUGAGGAUACCCAUUAAAUUACCAAAUGAUUGAAAUUCUUGUUCAACAUUGUCUAAAAGAAUCCCAGUGUUGGAGACUUAUAAUAACCACGUGAUCGAUAAAUGAUUAUGAUGAUGUUCUGCAAAUGAGAGUAUAAAAUCACGGUAAGUGGAGACAGCUAUUGAAUUUUGAAUUUUUUCUUUCAUAGUACUAGGGAUUAAACCUAGGACCUUGAACAUUUAAGUAUUCCACUACUGAGCUACAUUGCAUUUUAAUUCUUUUGUUUUGAGACAGAGUUUCCCUAGGUUGCCCAGGCUGGCCUUGAAUUUUUAAUCUUCUUGCCUCAGGCUCUUGAAUAACUGGGAUUAUGGGCAAAUGCCAUUUCGCCCAGUAACUAUCAAUGUUUUAACAGAACGAAAUAAAAAUAUGCUAGUCAUAAUCAUUAGAAUAUUAAAUAUGCAUGGCAUAUACUUCUAAAUUCUGUUUGUAAUUGUAAAAAUUGUCGCUUCGUUGUUCCUCUCUGUUUAAAACUAAAAUUCUCUUUAAAAAAUAUCCAAGACUCUUUACAAUUUAUCUCCCCUCCUUUAAAAAAUAAUGGAAGUUAUGACUUUUGAGUAAAAGAGUAAAAUACAUUUUUUUCGCAUUUGAAGCAAUUCACAUUUAAAAGAUAUAUACAAAGGUGUACAUAUUUGUGUUUUUAGGGUUUUGGGGGACGAUAAACAAAUCGAUAGCUCUGGGUUCUGGAGUUGGUGCUGUUACUUUCCAGACUGAUAGAGCAGAGGUUGUGGUUUUGUGCACAGCAGCCUGGUUUAUAGGAUUAGGAAUAUAAAAGCUGAUCUGUAGAGAGAAGGAGAGUUUUCUGGAGGCACGUGCAGCUGCCACUUGCACACGCCAGCACAUUAGCCAGUCUGACAGCAGAGCUGACGUCCACUCUCAGCCUUUCACUUUGGGGCAAAGAGAAGCAGAUGCUGCCAUAGGGCCUCCUCAUUCUUCAUUGUACGUAUUGAAGGGUGAGGUCAGGAGUUCCCGUGAUCUUUCCUUUUUCUUGGACCUUUCCUUGUCAAGAUCUUGGGUAAUCAUAAAUCAACCCCUGCAGGUCAUCUGAAUGCCAAAUUUAUUUUAAACAUAAGUAAACUCAAAGAUUGCUGCUCUACCCCUUCCUCACCCCACCCCACCCCUUUUAAUAAGGUGAUAUGUGGAUAAUUGAAGUGGACAAUUUUUCUCUUUGUGUAUUGAAAAGAGUAGUUCCUAUUUCUAGAACAGGUUCCAUAUAAACAAGAAUUGAACGUUGUUUUGCUAUUUCCACUACUUUUAAUAUAGUCUGUUAUUUUAUUUGAUUUAGUCACUUGAGAUUUUAAAACAGUAAAGGCUUGGUUGAGCUUGUACCAAGGAGGCCUGACACUUGGGAAACUAGAAAAAAGAGCACAGUUCAGAUCCAUGUAGCUUUAGAAUCAAAUCACUCAUGUCUAUUGCCUACACCAUAUUCCUUAUACCUCUCAAUACACCAUAUCCCUUACCUUCUCUGGUAUUGUAUAUCAUGCAGGUGCCUUAUUUUGGCUCACCAAAUUUCAGACUUGGUUCUGUGAAUACUCACAGAUAUUAAAAAAGAUAAAUUUUGUCUGCAAUAUUAGUUGUUUCAAAGCAUUACAGCAAUAAUGUAUUUCUAAUUAGAAAACUGGAAUGAUCUAGCAGUGAAAGUCAAUGACAGGAAGUCGACUCACCCAGGUCCUUCUCUGGUCUUGCCAACACAUACAGAGGAACAGACAGAUUAUGAAGUUCCUUUUGGUAGUGUCACAGAAAAGUGAGGAGAAUUUCCAAGCUGGAGCACGAGGUAUUUUCUAGGUGGAGGUAUUAAACAUAGUCACUUCUUAAGUAAUUAUGAUAAAACCCAUGCCUUUUGAGCAACAAGGCCCCCUAGAGCCUUUGAUUGGGUAUUCAAUGUGCUUCCCAACUUGUGCUUUUCUCAUUUGAAGAGGGCUGGAUCUAUUGGUGGGGAUGGCCUCCUCCCUGAAUUUCAGAAGUGCUAAAAUAACAUGCAAAGUCUGGCAGGGUGAUUUUCCACACUCGCCCUGUUUAAAGGAAGAAGCUUGUUCUGCUGUAAACAGUUAUGGGAACUGUUUGCUUUGGAUGGGCUUGGUCCUCAUAGGCUGAGGAGCACUUUCUUACUCUGGUUUCUUGCCAACGCGGAAAUUUGAUGCCAAAGGCAUCCUAGUCCUGUGGAGGUACUCUCUAAUUAGAAUAUGUUUGGCCGGAAGAAAGUGUGUUAGGGAGCAGCAGGAAUUGUGGCAGAGGCUUAAAAAAAAAUAGUAAUUGGGGCCGACCAUUAGCAUGGAGCAGAUCUCAUUGUUGUAUCUUGGGGACAAUAUGUCUUGGAUCUGUUUUGGCCCCUACUGAUUAGGGAGGGCUCUUUCCUGAGACUCUCCUGUGCUUCUGUAGGAAGCUUUUUGAGAUUCUUACCUUCUUUACAUCUACUAAACCAACAGGAUAAACAUUCUGGGUGAUUAUGUCAUGAGCAUGUAUAUAGUUCAGAGGCUCCAAAACAUGAAUGAAAAUGAGCUGGGCAUUGCUGUUGGGAGUAAGUUCUACAUUCCAGUCAUUACAAUAUUUUCAGUAUUCAGAGUGGAUGGUCCAUAGAGUCAUGGUUCUAAGCACAGGCUCAAAAGACAAACCGGCUAGAGUGUGAACCCUUCUACUCACCAUUUGGCAAGUGACCUUGGACCAAUUGCCUAAAUUCUCUAUUUCUCUUUCUUUGACUAGUGGAACUGCACGGGAGAGGUACAAGGGAUAUAAAAGGGGGUUGUUGUAAGAUUUCAAUAAGUUAAUAUAUAUGAGGCACUUAGAAUAACACCUAGUAUCAAGAAGGGCUCAAUAAACCUUAGCUAUUUUUAUUUUUAUUUUCUCCUUAUCUUGAAAUUAUCACUGCUACCAACUGACUUGUCUGAUUUGAGGCUUUUGAUGGGGAAGGAUUUAUAAGAGAAUGAGAAAUGUGUGGAUGUGUCUUCUGUCCACCUUAACACUUAGGUGUGUCUAUAUUUGUGUACGAUUGAAAAAAAGGGGCCAUUAAAUGCUCAAACAUUUAUGACGACUUUCCUCAGAAGUGACCUCUGGCUUUAUGUGAUUAGGCAGGUUGGUUUUACAUUUACUAUCACUUUCUCCUUUUGAUAGUUGGAAUGCAAGCUGUGCUUAUCAAGUUGACUCUUAUCCAGAGGUGGUUGUGUGCCAAUUGCAUAAGAUGACUGACAGUGAUCUAUGGGAACAGUCAUUUCCGCAUGUAAAUUGUGGUUGCCCAAAUCCAUACAUUCUCGUAGGUGUGGGGUGGAACAUAAAAUAUCACAGAGCAAGUGGGAGGUGGGGCGUUUACAAGUAGCAGAUCAUUGUACAACCAUUUCCUAUGUCCAAGCUCCUCUGACCUCAGCUACUUUUUUAAACUGCUGAUCCACAGCUUCUGGUAUGAGCCAUAUCCCUUGGACCUCCCCCGUGUAGUUCCACUGGUGACUCCCUCUUGGAUCCUGGCCGCCUUCUGCCCCACAAUCUUGUAGAUCAUGUUUUCUUCUGUCAAGGGCCUUACAGUCUUUGCUAUUUGUGCCUUUAAUAUGCCAGGCACAUAUUCAUUCAUUUGUUCAUUCAUUCAUUCAUCCUCAGGGUAUUUAUUAAGGCUCACUAUGAUCCAGGCAUUGCCUUAGGCACUGGGGAUACAAAGGUACUGAAAUCCUGGAGAGCAGGAACCAUAUCUUAGAUUCUAGAAGGAAAGAGAAACAGAUCAUGAUGAAGCAAUGUGGUGUGGGGCAGUUAGAAAUAUGGACUUUAAAACUGAAACUUGGGUUUAAAUUCUUGCUCCGUCAUUUACCGGUCCUGUGACGUUGGACAAGUUACUUAACUUCUCUGUGCCUAGUUUAAUUAUUUGCCAAAAGGGUGGUUAUCGCCAUACUGACCUCAUAGGCUUGUUAAAGGAGUUAAUAUUUAGACAUAUGCAGGAGAAUGCCUGAAACAUAGUAAAUUAUAUAUAUGUAUGUGUUAGAUAAAUAGAUAUAACAGUAGAGAUAUACAGAGUUUUAUAAGACCUAGAGUCCAAUUAGCAAGAUCAAACUUUGUUUUCCCUCAGUUCUGUCCCAGGUUUGCAGACUCUUUUAAUUCAGGAAAAUACAAAAAGGAAAAGAAGUUGGUUCAGAGCCAGAGUUUGGUUGUUCCACAUCAUGCAGCCUUAAUGCAGGCCUGCCUGUCUUGAUUUUGUAUCUUAUUUCCAGUAAUGGGUCUUUGGCCUUUUUCUUGGACCAAACUGCUACCUUGUAUCUUCAUAGUGGUAACUGGGACUUUGUCCUUUUUCUUUCAUCCUUAGUCUCUACCUCCAUUUCUGGUCAAGCCCUUAGUUCUCCUGGAGUAGAGGGUCUAUCUUGAUCUUGCUGAUCUGCCCUUGAAAUCUAUUCUACAAACAGGGUUCCAGCUAUCAACCACCAGCCCUCGCUGUCUGAAUUCUUGUGUAUUGCCUACCCUAAGACUCCCAUUGCUGUUCUUCUUCCACCUGUUCAAUCAACCACCUGCCUUUUAUUUUAAUUUUCCUGACACUAUUGCCCUGCCCACCUGUCUGGACUCUUGUAAUUGCCUUUUCCCCAAGUGUCUGCCUGGCCCCCAGGGCAGGUGUUUAGUCUCCGUCUUAUCAUCUCACUGUGGCCUGUUCUGCUACCACUUACUCAAUCUUCCCUACUGACAGAAGGAAGGAGGCCAGGGAGAAGGGCUGAGGCAGACAUUCUCUGUGUUAUUCAUGAAAUGACCUAGUUUAGUUGACUAGUUUAGCUUUUGGUUCAAAGGAAGUUUUGAGUAUGUGUAUUAGAAGUUAGCUGUAAUAAAUAAUUAUGCUUAGUGUGGUUAGGAAGAGUUGCUGUAUAUAAAGUUUGCUACAUGGGGAUUUUCUCUUCUUCUUUUUUUAAAAGUUUUUAGUUGUUGAUGGACACAAUACCUUUAUUUUAUUUAUUUAUUUAUUUUUAUGUGGUGCUGAGGAUCGAAUCCAGGGCCUCACAUGUGCUAGGCAAGCACUCUACCACUGAGCCCCAGCCCAAUUUUCUCUUCUUAAUGCACAAGUUACAAAAAUUCCUUUUCUAAUUUAUUUCCCUGAAUAACCAGUCUUCCCCAACCAGUCAUACGUGUUUCCCCUCUGCUGUUAAAUUACUCUAAGGAAGUCAUAAUAUUGUGGGUCUAUUCUUUUUUAACUUUGGUUUUUUUCUACAUAUCUUUCAUUCUUGGUGUUUGCACGUAGGUUAAAUAUUUCAGGAAGCCAUGGCUUCCCUUUAUGCUUCUCCUGUUCCCAUUUUUGCUUCUAAGAAUUUUCCAAAACUUGAAUGUAGUUUAAAUAUCAGACCAAUGAAUUUCUCUUUCCUUGAACUUAUUUCUGUUGAGCAAGGCCACUUUCUUCCUGAAUAAUAAAAUCCAAUCAUCUUCAUUACAAUUAAUAACGUAAAGCUCCAUUACUGAUGAGGCUGUCAUGAAAGUAAGUCAGUAGUGGAAGGGAAUUAAAGGGCAUAGUAAAAUCCCCUGCUUUUAGCAACACAACCUAAUUUUCUUUAGGCCCCAUGUAGCUGCCUAAUUUUCAUUAGGCACAUGCUGAUUUCUUUUAGUCCCAUGCAUGCAAGAUGAUCUUAUUUUCCCUCCAGUUCUAUUUGGUACUUAGAUUUAAUUGAGAGCUUAAUUAUAAGUGCUGGAAGUCAUCUGCAGAGUAUUUCUCAUUUGUAAAUUAUUUUGUUAUCCAUUUUUAUGGUAUGCAUUUAUUUUCUUGAUUGAAAUAAUUUUCACUUUAAAUGGCAUGUGACAUUUGCAAGGGUUUAAUGCACAUUCACAUGUCAUCUCAGUGUUCAUGACAGCCCUCUGAGGUAGGCAGAACUGUAAUUCUUUCUGUUUUACAGAUGAGGAAAAAAUGGCACAGAGGAAAUUUUAGGAAGAGCAAGAAAAAAAAAUGCAGAGGGCAUCUGAGGGACACACAUACACACACACACACACACACAUCCAAGGACUCCUUUGGGCCAAUAGCUAAGGCCCAGCAAUUCUGAAGUAAGGGGUGUUGCUGAGCUGGGAUAACCAGGGAACUGGACAUAUAGGAGGAGAUUAUUUGCUCGAAGUAAUGGAUAUUCUUUCUAGGUUGAGUGAGGUGGUAUGUCCCACUUGGAACAGCUUUUGGUCAAGUUCAAUGAAAAUUUGGAGGAAUCAUAGGAAUUAAAGUUUGCUACUUGGGGAUUUUCUCUUCUUUUUAAAAACAUUUAUUUGUAGAUCGACAUAAUACCUUUAUCUAUCUAUCUAUCUAUCUAUCUAUCUAUCUAUCUAUCUAUUUAUUUUUAUGUGGUGCUGAGGAUCACAUUUUAAGAGAGAAACAAACUGGAUAUGAAUGGCACAGCUUCUCCAGAUGCUGGUGAAUAGUAAUGCGGUAACCAUUAGAAUUCACCCAUAAUGUAUAACUACUUCUGUAAAUGCAAAACUGUGAAAUGCCUUUUGAAAAAACAAUAGAUUUAUUAUUAAUCUUAAGAUUUUCUAUAAUAUUUUGAGAAGAGGGAAAAUUUUUUCCCUCUUACUGUGUUAGUUACAAUGUAAUGGCAAUAACAGUGAGUCAGAAAAAAGUUUGACAGCAAGAGUAUAUGCUUUUCAAUAUAUACUCUGGAAAGAAUUUGAAUUCUAGCACUCAUGGUGUGUGGUGUGUGUGUGCGUGUGUAUACAUAUAAUAACCUGUGUGUUAUUAUAUGUUUAAUAGCUUAGCUGCUUCUGCUGAUUAUAUAUAUUACAUCAUUGGUGUCUGCUAACUUAUCAUCUUUUCUUUUCUUUUGCAGUACUGGGAUUGAACCCGGAGCCUUGCACAUGCUAGCAAAGUUCUCUAUCUUAGAGCCAUACUUCUAUUCCCCAAUGUUUCCUUUGAUCACCAGUUGGGGCAUGGCAAAGUCAUUGGAACACCACUUCAUUGAUGGCAAAAUGGAGUGGAGCUAUUCACCCUUGUCAUCAGAGAUCCCAGUAAUGGUGGGCCCUCAAUAAACUUGUGAGUGAAUAAAGCAUAUCUUCCUGAAACUAUA
rnacentral:lncRNA from 1 species